CAGAGCCAUGGUUUCGCCUGGUUUCCCACUGAAGCUAAGCAGGGGUGAGCCUGGUCAGUACCUGGAUGGAAGACCUCCUGGGGAAACAAUGGUUGCUGCUUGAA
rnacentral:rRNA from 1 species